rnacentral:rRNA from 1 species
ACUCCUACGGGAGGCAGCAGUGGGGAAUUUUGCGCAAUGGGCGAAAGCCUGACGCAGCAACGCCGCGUGGAGGAUGAAGGCCUUCGGGUCGUAAACUCCUGUCAGUGGGGACGAAUGCUUCGUAAGAAGUUUGACUGUACCCGCUGAGGAAGCCACGGCUAACUCCGUGCCAGCAGCCGCGGUAAU